UGGGUCAUAGAGAAUCAUCUAUAAAUAAGGAGAGUCUUUAUCUAUGGAUGCAUAGCAAUUAGAUUGUGAGAAAGAAAGAAAGAAAGAGAGAGGCAUGAGAGAGCUUGUGGGCGUUACCCUUAGGCGUCCUCCUUCUUGCCACCCCUCCUCCUCCUUGCCAUGGGCUCCAUUGUGGGCGUCUCCUUACUGGUGUGAGGCAUCACACCAGCAGCUAUUUCUCCUCCCUCGAUGGCCUUGCGAAAGUGCUUUAAUUCGAAGCUUCAUCCCGCUUUCCUGUGGAGCUUGAUGUGCACGUGAAGUAGAGUGCUUGCAGAUCUA
rnacentral:lncRNA from 1 species